rnacentral:rRNA from 1 species
GACGAACGCUGGCGGCGUGCCUAAUACAUGCAAGUAGAACGCUGAAGGAGGAGCUUGCUCUUCUGGAUGAGUUGCGAACGGGUGAGUAACGCGUAGGUAACCUGCCUGGUAGCGGGGGAUAACUAUUGGAAACGAUAGCUAAUACCGCAUAACAGUAGAUGUUGCAUGACAUUUGCUUAAAAGGUGCAAUUGCAACACUACCAGAUGGACCUGCGUUGUAUUAGCUAGUUGGGGGGGUAACGGCUCACCAAGGCGACGAUACAUAGCCGACCUGAGAGGGUGAUCGGCCACACUGGGACUGAGACACGGCCCAGACUCCUACGGGAGGCAGCAGUAGGGAAUCUUCGGCAAUGGACGGAAGUCUGACCGAGCAACGCCGCGUGAGUGAAGAAGGUUUUCGGAUCGUAAAGCUCUGUUGUAAGAGAAGAACGAGUGUGAGAGUGGAAAGUUCACACUGUGACGGUAUCUUACCAGAAAGGGACGGCUAACUACGUG